rnacentral:pre_miRNA from 1 species
UUCUGUUUAUGGCACUGGUAGAAUUCACUGUCACAGCAUACUCAGUGAAUUACCAUAGGGCCAUAAACAGCG